UUCGGAAUGGGGGGCACACCUAGGUGUACGACUACGAGGAGUCAAUUCUCUCUGAAUCUGCGAACGGCUCCGCAAACCAGUUGUAAACCAUAGCAGGGCUCCGCCCGCGGCAUCCCUCCGGGGAGGCCGUGGGAUUUAUAUGGAUAUCCGUGGUAAUUCUGAGGCUAAUACAUGACACACCAACCCGCUUCGGGCGCAAGCCUGGGGUGGGGGACGUGCGAAAACACAGGCUGGGGUACCAAUACCACGACAGAGCGCACGUUCGGACCACCGCGAAGGGUGAUGGGCUUCGGCUCGGAUCCUGGUGGCCCCCGCAGCGGGCUUCUGACCUAUCAACUAGAUGGCAGCGUAACGGACAUGCUAUGGUGACAACGGGUACAGAGGAUUAGGGUUCGAUCCUGGAGAGUGGGCCUGAGAGAUUGCUCAUACUUCUAAGGAAGGCAGCAGGCGCGCAACGUUCCCCUUGGGCAUCGCUCGAGGGCGUUAUGGGAAAUAUGAAUGGCUGCCUUUACGGUGGCCAAUUCAAAUGGGACUGUUUUAAACAGGCUAUCGAGUAACAAUUAGAGGACAAGUCUGGUGCCAGCACCCGCGAAAUUGCUCCGCGGAAAAAGUGCAGGAAAAACCCUGUGCUAGUCGAGUCCCCCAAGGGCAUGUGGGGGAGCCACUCGGCGACAUCGUCAAAUUGCGGGAAGUUCCUAAAGCCACUGCUACCAACCACGCGCCGAAAGGUGAUAAAAUGCGGGCGUUUGUACCUCUGUAUAGGGGGAGUCGCGCACGUGGGGCCAGGGUAAUGACCUCGGGUAUGGUAACAACGCAGGGAUCGGUGAUCCAGGGGGGAUGGGUUCGGCAACCCUAUCAACCCCCUGUUUCUAUACCAAUGGAUAAUCCGCAGCAAGUCCGGCGGCACUUGCUCUCUCCCCUGCUAGGGGAAGACCUGAGGCACGGAUGCAGUUCAGAGACUAAAUGCGAUGGGCGUGGAAGCGCCUGGGUGACGGCUCGCCGGCUAUCUCCAG
rnacentral:rRNA from 1 species